rnacentral:snRNA from 1 species
GUGGAGGUAUAUCAUCAUUGUUCAUUCCGCAAAAAUACAGAGAAGAUUAGCAUGGCACCUGCGCAAGGAUGGCACACAAGUUAUCGUUCU